rnacentral:lncRNA from 1 species
AGCCAUAUAUACAUUCUUGCUAGACUUUGAGCCACACAUUUACUUUUUACUACUUAUGAGCAUUGAGUGUGGUCAAGCUGUGUAGACUCUUAGGAGCUUGUCAUGUGGUUAAAUCAAGAUUCACUUGCACAUUCACUCCCACAUGCUGCUUCUACUGCGGAAGUACCAUCCACAUAUAUCCACCCAUUUCCAUCUCCAGAACCAUCCAAAAAUAUUCUACUCCUUAUCCGGGAGAGAAUAGCCAAAAAUAUUUUUGUUUUUCCCCUAUGAAAUAAAUGCUCAAGUUAUCUUGUUACUACCACUUGCUAUAUUAUCUCAAGAGAUAAGUGCUCUCUAAAAAAAUACGAGGAAAUAAAAAGGGGCAAGUGCCCGGAACCUCGAAAGAAAAGAAAAAAGUGAGACGAGAGGUAAAAAUGGACAAGUGUUCGACAGUAGAAUUAGGGGUACAAGAUACCCACC